AUUUCGACUUGUUCUUCUCUUCCUCAGCUCUGUUCUGCUUCGGGACCUUGACCUGAGCGAGGACAGCGAUGCGGAUCAGGCGUCGGAAGAUAACAAAACCAGUGCCAGCCAGUCCAAGAAGGGCAAGGUCAUCGACGCCAACGAGAAGAGGUGAGUACUCCUUUAUUGAUUUACACGUUUUAAUCAGGAUAAACAGGUAGUAGUUCUUACUCUUUUUUUCUUUCUUUCCUUUUAUUGUUUCUGUUUU